rnacentral:rRNA from 1 species
UGGGGAAUCUUGGACAAUGGGGGCAACCCUGAUCCAGCCAUGCCGCGUGAGUGAUGAAGGCCUUAGGGUCGUAAAGCUCUUUCGCCUGUGAAGAUAAUGACGGUAGCAGGUAAAGAAACCCCGGCUAACUCCGUGCCAGCAGCCGCGGUAAUACGGAGGGGGUUAGCGUUGUUCGGAAUUACUGGGCGUAAAGCGCACGUAGGCGGACCAGAAAGUUGGGGGUGAAAUCCCGGGGGCUCAACCCCGGAACUGCCUCCAAAACUAUUGGUCUAGAGUUCGAGAGAGGUGAGUGGAAUUCCAAGUGUAGAGGUGAAAUUCGUAGAUAUUUGGAGGAACACCAGUGGCGAAGGCGGCUCACUGGCUCGAUACUGACGCUGAGGUGCGAAAGUGUGGGGAGCAAACAGGAUUAGAUACCCUGGUAGUCCACACCGUAAAACGAUGAAUGCCAGUCGUCGGGGUAGCAUGCUAUUCGGUGACACACCUAACGGAUUAAGCAUUCCGGCCUGGGGAGUACGGUCGCAAGAUU